rnacentral:rRNA from 2 species
GAUCAUGGCUCAGAUUGAACGCUGGCGGCAGGCCUAACACAUGCAAGUCGAACGGUAACAGGAAGCAGCUUGCUGCUUUGCUGACGAGUGGCGGACGGGUGAGUAAUGUCUGGGAAACUGCCUGAUGGAGGGGGAUAACUACUGGAAACGGUGGCUAAUACCGCAUAACGUCGCAAGACCAAAGAGGGGGACCUUCGGGCCUCUUGCCAUCAGAUGUGCCCAGAUGGGAUUAGCUUGUUGGUGAGGUAACGGCUCACCAAGGCGACGAUCCCUAGCUGGUCUGAGAGGAUGACCAGCCACACUGGAACUGAGACACGGUCCAGACUCCUACGGGAGGCAGCAGUGGGGAAUAUUGCACAAUGGGCGCAAGCCUGAUGCAGCCAUGCCGCGUGUAUGAAGAAGGCCUUCGGGUUGUAAAGUACUUUCAGCGGGGAGGAAGGUGUUGUGGUUAAUAACCGCAGCAAUUGACGUUACCCGCAGAAGAAGCACCGGCUAACUCCGUGCCAGCAGCCGCGGUAAUACGGAGGGUGCAAGCGUUAAUCGGAAUUACUGGGCGUAAAGCGCACGCAGGCGGUCUGUCAAGUCGGAUGUGAAAUCCCCGGGCUCAACCUGGGAACUGCAUUCGAAACUGGCAGGCUUGAGUCUUGUAGAGGGGGGUAGAAUUCCAGGUGUAGCGGUGAAAUGCGUAGAGAUCUGGAGGAAUACCGGUGGCGAAGGCGGCCCCCUGGACAAAGACUGACGCUCAGGUGCGAAAGCGUGGGGAGCAAACAGGAUUAGAUACCCUGGUAGUCCACGCCGUAAACGAUGUCUACUUGGAGGUUGUGCCCUUGAGGCGUGGCUUCCGGAGCUAACGCGUUAAGUAGACCGCCUGGGGAGUACGGCCGCAAGGUUAAAACUCAAAUGAAUUGACGGGGGCCCGCACAAGCGGUGGAGCAUGUGGUUUAAUUCGAUGCAACGCGAAGAACCUUACCUGGUCUUGACAUCCACAGAAGAAUCCAGAGAUGGAUUUGUGCCUUCGGGAACUGUGAGACAGGUGCUGCAUGGCUGUCGUCAGCUCGUGUUGUGAAAUGUUGGGUUAAGUCCCGCAACGAGCGCAACCCUUAUCCUUUGUUGCCAGCGGUUAGGCCGGGAACUCAAAGGAGACUGCCAGUGAUAAACUGGAGGAAGGUGGGGAUGACGUCAAGUCAUCAUGGCCCUUACGACCAGGGCUACACACGUGCUACAAUGGCGCAUACAAAGAGAAGCGACCUCGCGAGAGCAAGCGGACCUCAUAAAGUGCGUCGUAGUCCGGAUUGGAGUCUGCAACUCGACUCCAUGAAGUCGGAAUCGCUAGUAAUCGUGGAUCAGAAUGCCACGGUGAAUACGUUCCCGGGCCUUGUACACACCGCCCGUCACACCAUGGGAGUGGGUUGCAAAAGAAGUAGGUAGCUUAACCUUCGGGAGGGCGCUUACCACUUUGUGAUUCAUGACUGGGGUGAAGUCGUAACAAGGUAACCGUAGGGGAACCUGCGGUUGGA